AUCAUGUCUCAGCCUUUUGGCUAAGAUUGAGUGUAGGUAUCUGUUCUUACCAGUUUAACAUCUGAUAUGUCCUCUCUCUGAGAAUGAUUUAUUACAUGGAUUUUUGGAGCAGGGACAUAGAACAGGAACUUGCCCCAUCCAUGCCUUCAUUGACCUGGUAUAGUGGUAUCUCUGGGAAUGGUGCACCACCU